rnacentral:lncRNA from 12 species
CAAGAAUCCAGAUGGAGAGAGUGCUGGCUGCUGUUCAUGUCUAACAUGAUCAGCAGAUAGAUGAGUGGCUUGGAGACGUGAGAAGUGGGCUAGAGAAAGUGCCAGACUGCUAGCUGGGAUUUCAAGGAGUGUUUGUGACCUUCCUGAGCUGUUUCAAAGCAGGAUUUCCAUCACCACAGGGAAAACCUCUUUGUUCGACUGCCUCUGAACCAGACUCCAAAG